UAUAUCAUUUACUUUUUUAUACUUUUAAAAGUUUAAAUAUUAUUUUAAAAUAUUGGGAUAGAGCGGGCCAUGCAAAUACCAGAAAUGCUUCAUACCUGCCUAUCGAGAAAAAAACUGUCUUGCCCCACCUCUAGUCUUCAAGUAAAAACCCUCUCCAUUCGGGAUGGGUUGGUCUGAAAUUCAAUGGGUGGUUCGGUUUUGCCAUCCCUAUCAUGUUACUCUGGAGUUGGAUGUUUGUCAAGAUAUGUUUACUUUGUUUCCC
rnacentral:lncRNA from 1 species